ACGAUGCGAAAUACCAACACUACCAACAUGAACCACGACCCACCGGUGAGACGCUCCGGAACAUGCACCCUGUGUAUGGACAAGGUGUACAUUGACGAGCUGUACACUCAUCGCAAGAUCUGUAAACCUGACGAUACGGAAAUGAUUCUGGCCGAUAAGCAGUCUGAAGAAAACCUCGCAAGGCAGUACUACCUGCAUCCCACCUAUUCACAACAGCAAAGAUGGUGGGGAAGUUUCGUGCCCCAUUUGUGGUGUCAGUAACCUGGCAGCACUAGCUGAGAAGCUGCUGUGAGAUGUGAGCUAAUCAUACAUGCUGACCUCCUUGUCCUCAAGAUUUAACAUAGCUCACACCUGGAACCUCCGCUACAUACACUGUCGUGAAUUCCAGAUACUAAUUACGAAUACGAGUACGAAUACGAGUACGAGUAGCUACCGAACAAGUAUGCCCGUGUUCAAUCACUCAUGAGAAAUGAAAACGAGAAAAAUAUAAUGAAAAAUACGAUAAUAUUAUUGAUGAAUACA
rnacentral:misc_RNA from 1 species